rnacentral:rRNA from 1 species
CAGUAGCCGCGGGAACACGUAGGGGGCAAGCGUUGUCCGGAAUUAUUGGGCGUAAAGCGCGCGCAGGCGGUCAUUUAAGUCUGGUGUUUAAUCCCGGGGCUCAACCCCGGAUCGCACUGGAAACUGGGUGACUUGAGUGCAGAAGAGGAGAGUGGAAUUCCACGUGUAGCGGUGAAAUGCGUAGAUAUGUGGAGGAACACCAGUGGCGAAGGCGACUCUCUGGGCUGUAACUGACGCUGAGGCGCGAAAGCGUGGGGAGCAAACAGGAUUAGAUACCCCAGUAGUCCCUGUCUCUUAUACA